rnacentral:rRNA from 1 species
UACGGAGGGUGCAAGGCGUUGUCCGGAUUUAUUGGGUUUAAAGGGUGCGUAGGCGGCCCUGUAAGUCAGUGGUGAAAUACUGCAAGCUUAACUGUAGCAUUGCCAUUGAUACUGUAGGGCUUGAGUACAGAUGAGGUAGGCGGAAUUGAUGGUGUAGCGGUGAAAUGCAUAGAUAACCAUCAAGAACACCGAUUGCGAAGGCAGCUUACUAAGCUGUUAACAUG